UGGUGAACAGCUCAGUGGUAGAGCCCUUGCCUAGAGUGUGUGAGGCCCUGGGUUCCACCCCCAGUGCUAA
rnacentral:tRNA from 1 species